rnacentral:rRNA from 1 species
GACGAACGCUGGCGGCGUGCUUAACACAUGCAAGUCGAACGGUAAGGCCCUUCGGGGUACACGAGUGGCGAACGGGUGAGUAACACGUGGGUGAUCUGCCCUGCACUUCGGGAUAAGCCUGGGACACUGGGUCUAAUACCGGAUAGGACCCUGGGAUGCAUGUCCUGGGGUGGAAAGCUUUUGCGGUGUGGGAUGGGCCCGCGGCCUAUCAGCUUGUUGGUGGGGUGAUGGCCUACCAAGGCGACGACGGGUAGCCGGCCUGAGAGGGUGACCGGCCACACUGGGACUGAGAUACGGCCCAGACUCCUACGGGAGGCAGCAGAGGGGAAUAUUGCACAAUGGGCGCAAGCCUGAUGCAGCAACGCCGCGUGAGGGAUGACGGCCUUCGGGUUGUAAACCUCUUUCAGCACCGACGAAGCGCAAGUGACGGUAGGUGCAGAAGAAGGACCGGCCAACUACGUGCCAGCCGCCGCCGUAA